ACAUGUGACUCGAUUACAGCGUGCGAGUAAAAAGGGGAAAGAAGAACAGAUCAGGAAUGAGGGGAAACUGGAGGAGAGGAACGAAAGAAAGAGAGAAAGGUGGAGAUGUAAUGAAGGCAGAUGAGAGGUUUCCGCUGCACGAAUCACUGCUUCCUGACAGACAGAGCGGAUUCACUGGGAAAGAAGAGAAAGAACAUGUGAAGUGGAAAACAGCAGGUUUGCAAACAGAGUUCACAGGUCGCUAGAGAGCAGGAGACGAGCGAGCGCCAUCCAGCAUCAUCACGACAGCAGGCCUCUUUCUGCCAAAUCACGGAAAACUGGUGUCACAUGACAUCAUGGAAACAGGAGACGCCGAGAGGAAAAAGAGCGUCACACGUCAGUUGUGUGACAGAACGAGAAGGACAGCAGGACGAGGUUCUCCACUGAAGUGUGUUUCUCUCCAGCUGCAGCUCAGGUUCCAGAGUGACGUCUCGCACCCUGCUGCAAACACAUGAGUCAGCGCUCCUAAUCUGGAAUGCUUUCCGUCCUGUUUAACUUUCCAUCGGCGGCCCCUGAGGCUGCGCCGUCUGUUUGAACUCAUUUUCCAGGCCACAUCUCACUUCCAGGCUAUUAUACAAUCGGCUGAGUUUAAUGCACCUGUUUUGGCGCUGAACGACCCGCCAGUUACACAUGUCCCAUGAACUCGUCUCCCUUCGUGAGAUCAUGUCUGUUUUGUUAACUCCGUUAUCUCAGGAGCAGAGCGACGCAGACGUCCAUCCUUCGCUCAGUGGUCAGUGUAGGUCCUGUCUCCAGCAGCAGCUACAUCUGGCUACUGGGUCUCUGAUGGCCGUCAGUCCGUGAUUGAGCAGCGCUUCACAACACUACAGCAAACGCCAGACUUGUGGAGGAAAACCACCAACACGAGCACGAGACGAGACUGAUGCGGUCCUGAACCUGGCAUACAGUGUAGAGAUCUGUUUGUUAAACUACAGCUACAUUGUCUGCUGGGUUUCAGAGAUGCUUCAUACCGACGGAAGCAUUCAGUCAGGAGACGUUUAACACGAUGUCAGCUUUUAAAUGAUCCAAUAAAGCUUAAACGUGUUCACUCUGUCUGAAAAGCCAUUUGUCACCGUCUAACAAUUCCAUUUAAACACAACAUUAUAUGAAUAUACCGCCGAGUGUCCAUAAGUAGAUCCUGAACGGGUACAGAAGAAACGUCUUUAUAAACUGCAUUACAUGUUAUCAACUCGCAUGCACAAAUAUUAUACCAGAGUGUGUCAAAGACACAAUCUCACACUCACACACACACACACACACAC